rnacentral:antisense_RNA from 1 species
CUUCACCGACCCCAGCAGCAGCGGCCGGUCCGCGUCGCGCUGACGCCCGUAGGUGGCCAGCAGCGCCUGCGCCUC